UACGAAGGGGGCUAGCGUUGCUCGGAAUGACUGGGCGUAAAGCGCACGUAGUCGGCUUUGCAAGUCGGGUGUGAAAUCCCCGGGCUCAACCUGGGAACUGCAUCCGAGACUGCAUUGCUAGAGUAUGGGAGAGGGAAGCGGAAUUUCUGGUGUAGCAGUGAAAUGCGUAGAUAUCAGAAGGAACAUCAGUGGCGAAGGCGGCCUCCUGGACCAAUACUGACGAUCAGGUGCGAAAGCGUGGGGAGCAAACAGG
rnacentral:rRNA from 1 species